GUGAAUCAUCGAAUCUUUGAACGCACAUUGCGCCCGCCAGCAUUCUGGCGGGCAUGCCUGUUCGAGCGUCAUUUCAACCCUCAGGCCCUGCCUGGUGUUGGAGGACUGCGCAUGCAGCCUCCCAAAGACAGCGGCGGCGGCGCCCCAAAACCGAACGCAGUAGUUACUUCUCGUUCUGGGUCUGGGUCGUUGUCCUGCCGGAAAACCCCCUUCUUUUACAUGGUUGACCUCGAAUCAGGUAGGAAUACCCGCUGAACUUAAGCAUAUCAAUAAGCGGAGGA
rnacentral:misc_RNA from 1 species